rnacentral:rRNA from 1 species
UAGGGAAUCUUCGGCAAUGGACGAAAGUCUGACCGAGCAACGCCGCGUGAGUGAAGAAGGUUUUCGGAUCGUAAAACUCUGUUGUUAGAGAAGAACAAGGACGUUAGUAACUGAACGUCCCCUGACGGUAUCUAACCAGAAAGCCACGGCUAACUACGUGCCAGCAGCCGCGGUAAUACGUAGGUGGCAAGCGUUGUCCGGAUUUAUUGGGCGUAAAGCGAGCGCAGGCGGUUUCUUAAGUCUGAUGUGAAAGCCCCCGGCUCAACCGGGGAGGGGCAUUGGGAAAUGGGGAACUUGAGGGCAGAAGAGGAGAGUGGAAUUUCAUUGGUAGCGGUGAAAUGCCUAGGUAUAUGGAGGAACACCAGUGGCGAAGGCGGCUCUCUUGUCUGUAACUGACGCUGAGGCUCGAAAGCGUGGGGAGCAAACAGG